rnacentral:rRNA from 1 species
ACGCUCGACACCUACGGGAGGUAGCAGUGGGGAAUAUUGCACAAUGGGGGAAACCCUGAUGCAGCGACGCCGCGUGGAGGAAGAAGGUCUUCGGAUUGUAAACUCCUGUUGUUGGGGAAAAAGAGGAUGGUACCCAACAAGGAAGUGACGGCUAACUACGUGCCUGUAGCCGCGGUAAUCUGAGCGGGCUGGCAAGGC